UGCAGCUCCCCCCGGCACUUGUGCUCCUGAGAACCCCUCUAUAUUUCCUAAUUUCAUCGCUGUGGGGAAUAAUCAACGCCUUGUGGAAGAGCUGCCCUUCAGACAUCACAACUAGCUCUCUGAAAGGACCCACAGCAGCAUGGGCUCUGUGCACGUUUGCAAUACUGAAGUCCCUGUUCUUCAGAACAAGGUUAUAUCUGUGUCUCAGCUGGUGCCUGAGACUUCUGCACACUUGCAUGUCCUGAAUGUGAAAGAAACAAUGAAAGCACUUCUUUCCCUGCUAAGUCCCAUUUCUAUUAAGAUAUCUACAGUAAGGAGUAAAUGCUGAGGCAAAGGUAAGGAUGAUUUAGGACAACACAGUAAAUUCUGCUGCACUCUCAUUGCAGACUCCAAGGUGAGUAGCUCUGUGCAAUGGAACCAUAUUUUUUUAGCUUAAGAACAGUGACCAAUAACGAUUCCUGCCAUAAACUUGAAAACAUGUAAAAGGCUGGUGGGACCUUUCAAAUUAUUACAAUUCUAGGUAGAUUGUGUCAUAAUUUUGAGCUGGUUAAUCCUUUGAAUCUCUAUAAUGAUUGUACUGUAUGGGCUUACACUGUGGCUCACGUUCCAAGCCAGAUCAGGUCUUAGAACUUUUCUUGUAGUGAAAUACCUUCAUUACUUUUUAAGCUCUUCAUUUCUAGCAGAGUGAGAUUGGGGGGAGCUGACCUUUGUUGUCAUUGUAAUACAUGGGCACUGAACUUUGCAUGGAUCUGUUGGAAGAGGGUUUAAUUAGGAAAUACUGUAGUGGUAGAUAGGCUACCAAAGAUAAAUUGUGUCACAUUGCAGUGGUAUCUUUCUCUGAGUUUGUGACCAAGAGAAAUAUAGUCGCUCUAAUUCAUCAAGAUUUCUGUAAAGUGUUUAUUGCAGUGGUUUAAAAUGUGAAAGGAAAGAAUUCAGGCUGGAGAACAUAGGGCACAAUAAAUGUAAAGAAAUGGCUAUAGGAGGAUUGCUGAGAACUGAGCUGAAAGGACUGUCAAGGGAAAAGCACAGUAACGAGCAGAGUAUAUUAAUGAUCAGUCUUGUGACCCAUCUGAACAGUUUUAUUUGUGGCCACAGCAGAAAAUGUGUGCAAAUGCAAAGUCUGGAAGAGACAGAAAGCUGUGAGGCCUUGACAAUUGAGAGAAGGACUGACCCUGACAAGAGGAGAAAUGGAAAAUGGAUAAAAUUAAGUACUAAUAAACCACAAGGUCAUGCAGAUGUUGGUUUUUUUUGCUCUGAGCAGGAGGCUCAUCAGCUGGAAGAAACACAGAAGUGUUUUGCUGAGUCUCACAAUGACUGACAACUGCUGGAGCUCAGCGACAGCAGGGAAGGGAAACGUUCCCUGAGAUGCUCCCCUGGAUGUUGCAUCAGGGGAAGCAUAUCCAGGAAACAUGGGAUUCCUGAGUACUUUUGUACAAGGCACUGGGGAGAUCCAGAAAAAGAGAGUCCAGAAAAAGGGAUAUUACAUUGGGAUAGGAAAUGGGGAAUAAAAGACUCUUUAAGUUUAGCAAAACUAAAACUGAGUAGGGGUAUGUUGCUCUCUAUAAAUAUAUUAUCAGAGUAAGUGGUGAGAGAGAACUGAUUAAAUUAGGGGUGAACUGAAAGCCUUGUGAACAAUUGACAGGAGCCAGCUGAACAAAUGUUCUUUGGAAAAGGGCUAAAGAUUUUUAAUAUCAUGAAGUUUUGGAGCAGCUUUCCAAUAGGAGUCACAGGGUCAAGAAGACUACCUGGUUUCAAGAAAAAUCUUGAGGAAUUUAUCAAUAAGAUUGUGAUGUUGUGAUAUCAAUGAGAUAUGAUGUGUCAAACGUAGCAGCGGAUGACCUGGGAGGACUCUUCCAGCCCUACUUCCUAUGUAAAACUAUUCAGCAGAGCCCCUGGUCUCCAGAGCAUUCUCCUGUAAGAAUACUUCAAUAGCAAGCUGGGGAAAAUGGCUUUUCCUUUGGAUUCUUUCUUUGCCCUUAUCUAUACAGAAGACAUAGAUCUGAUCAAAGUGCCAAUGAAUCUUGUGGUAGGUUGGAUGCAGAUCUCUAUUAUCUGUAUGACAAUACCUCUCAGAGGUCCUUCUCAUUACUGGGGCCCAGCUAUUUUCCAUGACCUGACUUUUAUGAUCCCUGUUCAUCUCUUAGCUAAAUCCAUCUGAAGCUGUUUCCUUGAUAGCCCCUUUAAUAUUUUGCAGGUUUCUUACAGUUCUUGUAUUCAUGUAAUCUUCUGAGGUUCUUCAAAGCAAACCAAACCAUCUUCUGCCUUUCAGGGUGCCAUCAGCUAGCCAAACCCAUGAGUAGAUCCCUAAUUCUCCAAGACAAGAUCAAUAGCAAAUCACCCUCCACUAUCCUGAAAAGAUCUGACAACUCAGUCUAGUUGUAGCUACUGAAAGAACUGUUAAUAAUGGAUGAUGACUGACAAAAUUCAUAGGUGUUAAAGGAGAUAUACCAGGAGCACGGUGCUCAUGGGUGCUGCUCAUUGAUUGACAGCCCCACCAGGUUAGAGGUUACCCGUGGAAUAUAGCCUUGAUGGCCUAGGAUGAAAUGUUCCUUCUGACCCUUCUGUAAGCUAGUGAUAUAAAGCGCUGGCUAACAUAUCAUUAACUUGCAACACCAUGAUGAUGGGAUUAAGACCCAGAGGGCUUUAUCUCUACCUUAUUAAUGGCAAUUAAAAGCUGCGUGACAGUUUUAAAACUUGUUGAUGUAAGGAAAGUUAGUACCUGUCUUCCAGCAGCACAGUAAAUAAUUGUCUGGUUGCUUUGCUUUUCGUAAUCUGCCCGUGCAGCUGUAUAUUAUCAUUAUUUUGCUGCAAAUACAGCUUUUCGAUUUAUCAACAGAAGAGCAGGUAAGGCUCUAUGUAAAUAAUAAUGAAGGACACUUCCAGGUUGGAUUUUUUCCCGUUCAGACUGCAGAGCGUGAAAGAAGCAGAGGAUUUUCAAAACUAAUAUCUGUUAGAGCUGGUUUUCAACACCUAAUUCCCCCAGAAGUUUUAAACCCAGUUUUAGUUACUGCAGACUUCUCCUGGCUAAUUCAGAGGGAAGGUAUUAAAAACUCUCCCUAACCCUCUUUAGAUGUGAGUGUUUAUCCCUUGUUGGGUGCUAACCAUUGGUGGAGCUAUACUGGUUUCAUGGCAAGAAGUUUCAUGCCUCUCAUCCUUCCACAUAUACAAGGAAAUGUGACUACUGACACAGCAAUGCUGAGUGCUAUGAGCCAGAACCAGCUCUUUACAUGCUGCUUCUGUUAAAAUCUCGGUCCACAUUAGAAAGAAAUGAUCGAACUUAAAUGUGUGCU